UAAAGGUUUGGUCCCAGCCUUCCUAUUGAUUAUUAGUAAAUUUACACAUGCAAGUAUCCGCACUCCUGUGAGAAUACCCUCUAAAUCACCUUUGACUGAAAGGAGUAGGUAUCAAGCACACUUAUUUAUAAGUAGCUAAUCACACCUUGCUUAGCCACACCCCCACGGGAAACAGCAGUGAUAAAAAUUAAGCCAUGAACGAAAGUUCGACUAAGUUAUGCUAAUAUUUAGGGUUGGUAAAUUUCGUGCCAGCCACCGCGGUCAUACGAUUAACCCAAAUUAAUAGGCAACGGCGUAAAGCGUGUUAAAGAGCACUAAAUAAAAUAAAGAUAAAACUUGACUAGGCUGUAGAAAGCAACAGUCAAGACUAAAAUAAACUACGAAAGUGACUUUAUUAUUUCUGAUCACACGAUAGCCAAGACCCAAACUGGGAUUAGAUACCCCACUAUGCUUAGCCCUAAACUUAGGUAAUUUAAUUAACAAAACUACUCGCCGGAGGACUACUAGCAACAGCUUAAAACUCAAAGGACUUGGCGGUGCUUUAUAUCCAUCUAGAGGAGCCUGUUCUAUAAUCGAUAAACCCCGAUAAACCUCACCGCCCCUUGCUAAUUCAGCUUAUAUACCGCCAUCUUCAGCAAACCCUUAAAAGGAAUAACAGUAAGCUUAAGUAUUUUACAUAAAAACGUUAGGUCAAGGUGUAGCUUAUGGGGCGGGAAGAAAUGGGCUACAUUUUCUAUAACUAGAACAUUCACGAAAGUUUCUAUGAAACUAGAGACCAAAGGAGGAUUUAGUAGUAAGUUAAGAAUAGAGCGCUUAACUGAACCAGGCCAUGAAGCACGCACACACCGCCCGUCACCCUCCUCAAGUAUUUAAGUCUACUAAUACAUAAUCCCAGACUAACUAGUAUUAGAGGAGAUAAGUCGUAACAAGGUAAGCAUACUGGAAAGUGUGCUUGGACGAAU
rnacentral:ncRNA from 1 species